UGAUAAGUCAAGUCACAUUGGCCAAUGAAAUAAAGACUUCAGAUUCCAAAGGAAAUGCAGACACUUCAUCAAUUAACAGUCAAUAUUUACAAUCUUGAAGCCAGAUAAUGAACAAAUUCAAUAGCCAAAAACCCACCAAAAGAUGCGACGUGUGAGGAAAUUUUGGGGACGUGCACUGUCAUAGAUAAUUUAAAACUAUCCUUCCAUUUUUAUGGAUAGAAAUUGAUUGGAGAUGACAAAUAGAAAUUGAUUAGAGAAUGCCCUACUAUGCCAUAAAAGAAUGGCAGAGUUACCCAAAAAUUAAGUAGGACUUAGAAGACUCACUAUGUCAUGAAAGAAUGACAGAGUUACCCAAGAAAUAAAGCAGGACUUUGCAGGAAAAAAUUGUGGAGGCAGAUGGGUCGAGUUCAGUAUUGGCAAAUAGGUAGAAGGAAAAAAGGAAGGUGGCAUAGAUGCAAAUCACGCACGAAAUCAAUCAUCCUAUAAUCAUGAUGAAGAUGCUUUGAGGUAAA